AAAAACCUAUUGCACCCGUAUAAUACCUAAAGUAUUGCAAGGGGUAUGAAUCCCAAAUACAUGUUCCUUAUAGCGUUGUAGCGAAGUUAGCUAUGAUGUUUUCUAAUGACCGCCUAUAGUAAUGACAUUAUUUGGGGAAAAACUCAAGAGCAACUCUAGGAUGUUUUGAGAAUAACUUCUGUCCGGUCGUGGCAGAAAUGAUGGGAUUUUUGCCCACCAAUAAAAAAUGGACACGUCAACUAAAAAUAAAAAAAUGUGAUGCUCUUGAUGUACAGGAUCCUCUCACAACUCUGCAUUCACAACUCUCCAUUUUUCCCUUCUAAAAUCCCUCCCCACUAUAGAAUAUCACAAUCCAACCUGAGGAAAAAAUCCCCCAAUCGGAAGAGCAGCAUCAUCGCCCCACCAUGGCACUGCCCAGGCACUCUCCAUUUGUCCCUUCUAAAAUCCCUCCCCACCGCCCAAGAAUAUCACAAUCCAGCUUGAGGAAAAAAUCCCCCAACCGGAAGAGCAUCAACGCCCCACCAUGGCACUGCCCAAGCCGGAAAACCGCCGCCACCAAAUGGGCUAGACACUACCGCCACCGACCUGAUCGGUUCUUGCCUGAAAGUUCUCAAAGCUAAUGGCCCGAUCGGCGGUAGAGUCACAUGUAGGUUCUUCCCAAUCUUCAACCUUCGUAAUAGGGCACUGAAAUCUUCUUGAAGAUGAAAGUCUUAGAAGCUGAGGCCUAGUACAACCCCAAUUCCUUUUUGUGACUUCCUUCCUUGGUCCUUAGAAUGUUUACCGAGGAAGAUCUGUGGAUGCUCAUGACGGAUUGCUUCAACAAAUGUAUCAUAAUUUGAUUUUUUAUUUUUUUUUUUCUAUUAAUUCACUCUUUGGUCCUGAUUUAAGGGUAAAAGAUUUUUUUUCUUAAGUUUAUGUAUAAUCUAUAGGAAACAAAAAUGCAAAUCGCACAAAAGGUGUAUGAUGAAAUGCCUCAACCGUUUUUUUUUUAGCCUAAUUUCUAAUUGAGAGCCCUUUCUAUACCAAAUUUGGGAUGGACAGAUUUGGGGAGGACGGACGGACGAGCGGGCUGUGUGGUUCAGUCCAAGUGGACGUGCAGUGAUUUGGGGCGGACCAGCGGGCCAGUUGACCAGCGGACGACGGACGGCGGACGUGAUUUGGGCAGUGGGGUUUUUUUUUUUUGUUGGAAUCGUGGGGCUUCAGAAGUGAGUUGGGGAGGGAUUGGUUGAUUCAGUAACAUUUUAAUUUUUUGCUUUUAGCUGAUGUGUCAAGUGGUUAUUUGUGGGCAUAAACCCACUGUUUUUUGCCACUACUGUAUAGAAGGGGCUCUCGGAGGUUUUUCCC